rnacentral:misc_RNA from 1 species
AUAGAAAAGCAAAAAUGGUAAUUAAUCCCCUCUGUUCCCGAUUGGUCUUGCCUUUGCAUCUCAACCUUUCGUCGAAGAUUCUCAUAGACCAACUCAUCUAAGACAUCCUCAGCCUCAUAAGCUACUUCUCUGAGCUUCUUCAGCCAAAGCCUGACAUGCUCCUUUCUGGUUUGCUGCUCCUCUGCAUCUUGAAGCACACCACGAAUCAUGGUGAGGGAUUCUUGAAGGCCUUUCAGGUCGUUCUUGAGAUUCCAAGCACGACUGACUUCAUCGGUGAUGAGCGAAGCCACCGCGGACAGAGUUGCAUCUAUCCCGAAACUGAGGAUCAUUUCAGCCAUGGUCUCCUUCUAGCAAAGAUGAAAGAAAUGAGUUGAAGCAAAAGUUGAAAGCAUAC